AGGAUCACACACUGCAUUUAGCUGUGCAUCUUCGAUCAGAAACAACCUUUCCGCUGUUCUUUGACUUUCAAGACGUUCAUAUUUUUGAAGACUAUAGACCAGCUGGUUUGUAGAGUUUCAACCUGGGCUGCCUGAUGUUUUUUCAUGAUUGGGAUCGGAUAACUUUUGAUUGGGAUACCCGGUUGGUGGCCCCUGGGCUGGGAGGAAGAACGGAUCCUCUGAUCCUUGCACGGAGCUCUGUGGAGUAUGUGCCUGAGAAAUCUUCCCCUCCAGCCCUUCCUUUUCCUUACAAGUUUUCUGAUGAAGUACCUGGAGUAUUUGACUUGUAAAGUUUCCCACAGUCUGGAUUUUGCUGAUGUUUACUCAAUGGUGUAGCUCAAUGUGUGGUCUGCUUUUCCUAUAUUUUGGCUACUAGGUCCAGAACUCAUAUACAUAAUUUAAUACUGUUUUAAACUGUCAGUAUCAUUCGUUGGCAGGUCAGCUCUGCACCCUCUACUUUGCUUCAUCUGCUUACUUCGUUUCUCUGCUUACUUUACCCUUACUGUGAAUAAUAAACCAACCUCUUUGCCACUUCCCAUAUUUAGAAGAUGAGUGGUGUAUUCUGAUCUAACAGAAGCAAAGUGUGCAUAAUGUUCACAUUGUGGACCAUAAGCAUUAAGUGCAGUGGCUCCUUUGAUCCUGUAACAUGGGCCUCGUAGGAUGCUUCAAGGGGAGAAGAGCAGGCCUCAUCCCAGAGACUGAUUGGUUUUCUUUUCAGCCAGAUGGUUUCUGGGUGGGAUUCAGCCAAGACAACAAUUUUCCCCUCACCAGAUGACAGCGUUUCCUCCAACCAUAGCUUUUGAAAACCACAUAUUGCUUUAAAAGAGAACUCUGGACCACUUCCCACAGGUGGGGGUAACUCUUGCGGCAGGUGUCAAAAGCCAGAGAGUUCUAAAGGCAAGGGCUGGGAGGGUUGGAGGUGUGUGAAUACAGCAGAAGGGAGACAGAGCUUGUUCAAUAGAUGCAACCAUAUGUAAGGACCUGUGGCUUCCACAGGGGUCAGAGGAAGCGGGGUUGGCAGGGGGCCCCUCAGGACAACAAAGCUCUGGUGAGAACUCGAGGAGGGAAGCUGUAAAGUUCCCUGAAAGAACACAGAAGAAAUGAGAACAACAAAACCCAGAAAGAAAAAAAAAGGACUCUAGACAACAGAACCAGACAUUCACCUCAAUGUCCUGAUCAGAAAACAUUUUCCCAGUCAGUGAAAGGGGCCUGGUGACCGAAGCUACAGUUUGUGCAUCCAUGGUGUGCAUGUAAUGAAUUAUAAUUGUUGAAGCCAUUUAAUCAUUUCAGGUAAAAAUGUAUCCAUAGUGUUAGAUUGCUGCCCAAGGAAAACUUCUCGUUAUCAAAGAUUACGAACUUAAAUGCAUAAGGCGGAAUGUAAUGCCCAUGGAGUGACGAACUCCUAACCAGGCAGAAAUCUGUCUCUAGGUGAGUUGACCCGAAUGGCCGCUGCCCUGCGGCGAAUUCCCCUCCUGCUAGUUGAGUGGAAACAAUGUCCUGAGGCAGGAAUGACCGGUUGGAACAGUGGGUAGGUGCUUCUUCCCGCCUAACCCUUUUUCUUCUCCUUUCCAUCGUCUUCACUUCUUUUUGCUUGACGCUUUCAUUUCUUAUCCCACCUCAAGUCCACUGUUAAUUAGACAGUGAAAUGUCUGAUUUCACCUAGAUGACUAAGUAAAAGUUUCCUAAAGGAACAUAGAGCAUAUGUCUGGCAAUAAUUGACUUUCAUUAAUAUGGCUCUCUAAUGCUAGACUACUGACUUUCAAAAUAAGUUUUCUCUGAAUAAAAAUUUGCCUGAAAAAAAAUGCCACACUUUGGGCAUUAAAAGACCACAUCGUGGGGGAGGAGACACAUCUUCAUUACAAAACAAUUCUAAAUUAUGUAUAUAGAUACUCUCCCUGUUUGAGGGGUGGGUGCAGGGAUUAAUCCCUCCCCCACUGCAUGGGGCUGGUUUAGUGACUCACUUCCAAAGAAUAGCGAAUAUACAGGGGACACAAAAGCUACGACAUAGCGGAGAAACUUGGCAGGCAGCACCUUAACUGAGUAACGAAGGGAGACAUCACCUGUGAGGUCCUGUAAAUGUCAGGCACCCUCCGAUUCUGACGUGAAGGGUAGCUCACCUCUUUAAAAUGCCUCACCCCAGGCUAAGAGAAAAACAUCAGGCAAACACAAACCGAGGGAAAUUCUACAAAAUCUCCGACGGGCACUUCUGCAAAUUGUCAAGGUCAAGAAAAAAAUACGGCAAGGUGAAGAAACUGCCACAGCCCAGAGAAGGCUGAGGAGAUGCAAGAUCAAAUGCAAUGUGUGUCCUGGAUGGAAUUCUGGAGCAGAAAGAGGCUAUUUAAUGGAAAAACUGGUGAAACUGGGAUUAGUUAAUAGUGAUGGACCAUUGAUGGUUUCUCAGUUGUGACCGAUGCACUAUGGUGAUAAAAGAUGUUAACGAUGGGGGACAUUGGGUGAGCGGUA